UUCUCUACACUUAAAUGGCGCCAAAGAAACAAGGCAGUAGAAAAAAAGGCUCUGCGGCUUCCUCUAGAAAGUCCCCCUCCACAUCGUCAUGCCCCCCUACGUCAUCUUCUGGCCCCCCUACGUCAUCUUCUGGCCACCCUACGUCAUCGCCAGGCCACCCAACGUCAUCGUCAGGCCACCCAACGUCAUCGUCAGGCCACCCAACGUCAUCGUCGUCUACCCGCAAUGCGUCCGCAUCAACACCAUCGCCACCCAAUUCGUUUUCCGUAUCGCAACCGGUGCCAUUCUCAACAUCACCACCGGUGACGUCGCUGCCGUCGGACAGUUCGCCAUCGGCCAGUUCGUCGUCGGCGUCAACAGUCACUACGACUACCGUGUCCACCUCGACUUCGGCAUCCGCAACGACAUCAUUGUCCGCGGCAUCGGCGGCGUGGUCCACGUUGGCUUCGGCGGCAACGUCAGCGAUGUCAUCUCUAUCAAUAUCCGACGACCUAACUCUUACCGACGAAAUACCAAUUAAGCUGAACGGCAAGAAUUAUCUUGAAUGGAAUGAGAAAGUUGAAGCUGUCUUGAAAGCGCGCAAUCUGCUAGAGUUCGUGGAGAAGAUCUUCGAUCCUGAACCGUACGCAAGCGAGAGCGAUCGCGCGCAGAACAUCGAAAGCGAAAAGUUCCGGCGAUGGUUUGUUCAAGAUCAGAUGUUGCGCACGUGGUUGUUAUCGUCUAUGCGCAAAGACCUUGCUUCUUUGAUGACCGGAUGCCAAUACUCGUGGCAGGUUUGGGAAACGGUGAAAGAACUCUUCCAUUCUCAUUUGGCGGUGAGGGUUUGGCAACUUAGGUCAGAGCUGGGGACAAUAAGGAAAGGAAAUUUGUCUGUGUCUGAGUACGUUGGCAAGAUCCAAAGCAUUGUUGAUUCUUUGGCUGAAACAGGUAAUCCUGUGUCUGAAGAAGAUCACGUUGAAGCGGUCUUGGCAGGAUUGCCAAGGGAGUUUGACUCGGUCGUCAAAAUGGCGCGAAUGUUGGAGGGUCUCACUCCUAUCGCAGUUAGUAAUAUUGAAACCUGGUGUUUAGUCUUAGAAGAGAAAUAUACAAGUGAAUAUCGCCAUGUUGACGGUGGAGGAGGCCCUUCAACUCAAGAUGACGAACCAUCUUGCUCCCCUGAGUGUUCUACUGCUGAAAGAGGUCGUGGAAGUCGUAGACGAAAAGGCCAUGGUCGCGGUGGCCGCCAUCGAGGCAGGAACUAGGUAUUUUACACGCUAUUCUUGAACUUUGUUCGAUCAAGAACUCCAUUAUCAAGUUACUAUUUCUUUGGUUCAGCUACUUUAGGUUAACAAUCACUGGCUCGACGCAGAAGCUUGAAUCCGGUCAAAAAGAAUGUCAUUCUGGUUGGAGGGAUGAUUAUCUUGAUAUUAGUUACUGGGAAUCUAAACAUGAGAUUGGAGAACUCGUCAAACAAAGGCAUGCAAAACGUCAUUUCUUGUGUUAUCUUAUGAAUGUAGUUAGCAGUUGCACGCUAUCAUUACUAAGAUAACCUUGUUUUGACAGUACAUUACACAGUACUAGUAUCAUAACUGCCUCAUGUGUAAUAUCAUUUUCUCAACUACCUCUGUAAAAUAGACAAAAACAGAAUAUAAGAACAUCCCAAUAUUGCAUUUUUAGAAGAGUACUUUUUUAGAAAUU